rnacentral:rRNA from 1 species
GCAGCAGGCGCGAAAACUUUACAAUGCGGGAAACCGUGAUAAGGGGACACCGAGUGCCAGCAUCAUAUGCUGGCUGUCCAGGUGUGUAAAAUACACCUGUCAGCAAGGGCCGGGCAAGACCGGUGCCAGCCGCCGCGGUAACACCGGCGGCCCGAGUGGUGAUCGUGAUUAUUGGGUCUAAAGGGUCCGUAGCCGGUUUGGUCAGUCCUCCGGGAAAUCUGACGGCUCAACCGUUAGGCUUUCGGGGGAUACUGCCAGGCUUGGAACCGGGAGAGGUAAGAGGUACUACAGGGGUAGGAGUGAAAUCUUGUAAUCCCUGUGAGACCACCUGUGGCGAAGGCGUCUUACCAGAACGGGUUCGACGGUGAGGGACGAAAGCUGGGGGCACGAACCGGAUUAGAUACCCGGGUAGUCCCAGCCGUAAACGAUGCUCGCUAGGUGUCAGGCAUGGCGCGACCGUGUCUGGUGCCGCAGGGAAGCCGUGAAGCGAGCCACCUGGGAAGUACGGCCGCAAGGCUGAAACUUAAAGGAAUUGGCGGGGGAGCAC